CCUACGGGUGGCUGCAGUGAGGAAUAUUGGUCAAUGGCCGGAAGGCUGAACCAGCCAUGCCGCGUGAAGGUCAGUGCCCUAUGGGCGUUAAACUUCUUUUGUCAGGGAGCAAUUGGCGCUACGUGUAGCGUUAUCGAGAGUACCUGAAGAAAAAGCAUCGGCUAACUCCGUGCCAGCAGCCGCGGUAAUACGGAGGAUGCGAGCGUUAUCCGGAUUUAUUGGGUUUAAAGGGUGCGUAGGCGGAAUGCCAAGUCAGCGGUAAAAUCGCGGGGCUCAACCUCGCUCCGCCGUUGAAACUGGCGUUCUUGAGUGGGCGAGAAGUAUGCGGAAUGCGUGGUGUAGCGGUGAAAUGCAUAGAUAUCACGAAGAACUCCGAUUGCGAAGGCAGCUCACUGGACUGCAACUGACACUGAGGCUCGAAAGUGUGGGUAUCAAACAGGAUUAGAUACCCGGGUAGUC
rnacentral:rRNA from 1 species